rnacentral:ncRNA from 1 species
GUUAGUUCGGGCGGCGAAGAUCCGGUGACUGGCAUGGUCGCUCCAUCCUUUCGGGAUACGGUCACUGAGGAGCCAGUAGCGAAACCGGCCCUAUGGG